GCACUGACCUCACCAGUAUAUAUACUAAAAUUGGAACUGUACAAAGAUUAGCAUGGCCCCUGUGCAAGGAUGACACCAAAUUCAAGAAGCAUUCCGCAUUUUU
rnacentral:snRNA from 1 species